rnacentral:lncRNA from 1 species
GACCCUGCUCUGUGACAGCUCUAGUGUUGAUGCCAAAGUUCUAAUUUCCUCUUAGAAAAGACUUGUGCAAAUAUCAUCGUUUGCUCCUGUUGGCUUUUUUAAUGUGCUCAAUGAGAUUGAGAUCUAGAGUCAGCACUUGUUCUGACAUGCAGUGUACACGACACACAUCCCAGGGCACUGAUGCAAUCAAACCUUUCUCCUGUCCCUCAGCCCUCCCUGCUGCAGUGAAGGCCACUAGCACUUUCAAGGCUCCCGGACCUGGCCCCUCAGGCAGGCAGUCAAUUGCCAAGUCCUGUUCCUGUGUUAAUUCAAUGCAUCUCUCUGCUUCACCUACUGGCCACUGUUAGAUGUCAGAUAAAUCUCAACUAUUGACUCACACAGGGAGCUAUGCCUGGAGCAGAUCAGCUGCCUGAAUGUGAUGGUCUUAUUACCUGGAGGUUAAGGAUGGGUGAAAUGGGCUAAAAGUUCUCACUCCUCAUACCUUUCAUGUCCCACCCCAUUCAUUUGCUCUUCCUUUAUCUCCUGAGGAAACGGAUGCUCUGAACCCAGGCACCCAAAAUACCCUCAUGUCAAAAAUUCCCUGGUACGCCCUUUCCCACACAAAUCUUCAGAGCAGCCAUUGAGGCAGAGAAGCCUGCAGGACCACUUGGACCUGGUGGGAGCCAACACCAAGCAAACGGAGGAUCACAAGUGGACAUCCAGUACCCUGUUUUCCACCCGUCAGUCCUUCAACUGACUCCUGUUUCUCCUCAGCCCCCUUCUAUAAAUUUAGCAUUUAGCACCAGCCUGAACCAAACCUACCCAUAACUUUACUCUUGAACUUUACUCUGCAAAGCUAAGAAUCCCACACAUCUCCACAGAAAUUUAUUGUCUAAAAAAUGCUUUACCAUAUAUUAUCUCACUUAAUCUCCACCACUAUCCUGUACAUAGGAGCCAUAACUCCCAGAUGACAGAUGAAAAUCUAAAGUUUUUCAGUAUAUGACAGCAUACUGUCCUAGGUAUAUGAUAAAGCCAGAACUAAAAAUCCAGGCCUUUUGAAUUCCAGUUCAGGAGAGGAAGAAAUCCCAAGUCCCAGAGAAUUAUCUGCUUUUCUGGAUUGUUCACACCGUAGAUCAGCGCCCCUCUUGAAUGAAGAACCAAGUUCCAAUUUCAGUGAACGACCAUCAUCCUUUAACCAGGAGAUUCUCUCAGAAACAUGGGGGGUCCCAUUGAUGGGGCCUGAAGUUAGAGGUUGACAGGGACUCACGUGAGGCUGGAGGUGCUCCUCCCAGCAGGUGGAUAACUUCAAGACCAGGGGACAAUGCCAGAUAAGGCACAUGUGCCUUCAAAGCCAUCCCUUAAGAGAAGAAAGGAGCUGUGAACUCAGUCCCCACAUGUUCUGAGUGUGGCCUCCCAGAGAAAGGGAUUUGCUUAGUCUGGGGAAACCUUCAAGCCCCUGCACCGAAUCCUGUGGAGAUCAAGGCCAAGGUGGACACUGUGAUCUCCUGAGCCCCCAGUCCUGAUGGAGACAUGCCAGGACUGAGAGUCCUACCAGUACCUUCAACACACAUGCUGCAGAACCUCCCCCCAAAAAAACUUGCUCUGCCUCCAUUCUCUGAGAUCCCAGAGACGUGACCCAGAGGGCAGGGCCUAGCAGUCUCAGCACCAGUACUCGCAGAGCCUCUGAGGAUUCUGUGGUUAUACCUGCUCCUCAUCCAGAAGCAUGAGAUUCAUGGCUCUUCUCUUCCUGGCGGCUCUGGCUGGGGCCCUGGUCUGUGCCCAAGAUGCCUCUGUGACCCGUGCUGAACCUGGUGCGGGGAUCACAGCUCCAGUGGAAUCUGCUUCACCCCAAGAGACGGCAGCAGGAGACGGGUUCGCCCCAGGGGAACAACUAAAACCCCUGAAAGACUUAGCAGAGAGAAGACUCUUGAAAGCAAGGCGUACCCUUGAAGAAGCAAGAAAAGGAGCGCGGGAAGGAAUUGAAGGUGGAAAAAAACUCUUCGAAGGUGGAACUGAACUUUUAAGAAAACUGAGGGACAAAUUCAUUCCAAUUAAGCCCUAAGAACCUGAAAAGAAUGGGGUCUCUGGACUUAUCGCCUUAAACUUGCUUGCAGCUCAGAACAAUUAAACUGAA